AUUGAACGCUGGCGGCAGGCUUAACACAUGCAAGUCGAACGAGUGGCGGAAGGGUGAGUAAUGCUUGGGAAUCUUGCUUAUGGAGGGGGAUAACUACGGGAAACUGUAGCUAAUACCGCGUACCAUAGGAUGAGCCCAAGUGGGAUUAGGUAGUUGGUGAGGUAAAGGCUCACCAAGCCGACGAUGUCUAGCUGGUCUGAGAGGAUGACCAGCCACAAUGGGACGGAGGCACGGCCCAGACUCCGACGGGAGGGAGCAGUGGGGAAGAUUGGGCAAUGGGGGCAACCUGACGCAGCCAUGCGGCGUGAAUGAAGAAGGCCUGCGGGUUGUAAAGUUCUUUCGGUAGCGAGGCGUUAACUACAGAAGAAGCACCGGCUAACUCCGUGCAAGCAGCCGCGGUAAUAC
rnacentral:rRNA from 1 species